rnacentral:tRNA from 1 species
GGCGCCGGUGCGGGGGCGGGAGCCGGCGCCGCUGUCGACGGCGCCAGGCUGGCCAGCGGCAUGUUGUCGGGACGGUUCGGCGCGGUCGCGGCGGCA